rnacentral:tRNA from 4 species
GCCCGGAUGGUCUAGUGGUAUGAUUCUCGCUUGUGAGUUCUCCUCUUAAAAAACCAUCUAUUACGAAAGUAAAAUACUAAUCAGUAUUAUAGCGGGCUGGCUAAACAGUUCUAUCUGCGAGAGGUCCCGCGUUCGAAUCGCGGUUCGGGCC